CGGCUGCUCAGUAACACGUGGACAACCUGCCCUCGGGUGGGGGAUAACCCCGGGAAACUGGGGCUAAUCCCCCAUAGGUGAUGGGUGCUGGAAUGCCCCAUCUCCGAAAGCGCUUAGCGCCCGAGGAUGGGUCUGCGGCGGAUUAGGUAGUUGGUGGGGUAACGGCCCACCAAGCCUAAGAUCCGUACGGGCUGUGGGAGCAGGAGCCCGGAGAUGGACCCUGAGACAAGGGUCCAGGCCCUACGGGGCGCAGCAGGCGCGAAACCUCCGCAACGCGGGAAACCGCGACGGGGUUAGCCGGAGUGCCCGUGCAUUGCACGGGCUGUCGGGGUGCCUAAACAGCACCCCAUAGCAAGGGCCGGGCAAGGCCGGUGGCAGCCGCCGCGGUAAGACCGGCGGCCCGAGUGGCGGCCACUCUUAUUGGGCCUAAAGCGUCCGUAGCCGGCCCAGUAAGUCCCCCGGGAAAUCUGGUCGCUUAACGAUCAGACUUCCGGGGGAUACUGCUGGGCUAGGGACCGGGAGAGGCCGAGGGUAUUCCCGGGGUAGGGGUGAAAUCCUGUAAUCCCGGGAGGACCACCUGUGGCGAAGGCGCUCGGCUGGAACGGGUCCGACGGUGAGGGACGAAGGCCUGGGGAGCGAACCGGAUUAGAUACCCGGGUAGUCCAGGCUGUAAACGAUGCGGGCUAGGUGUCACCGGAGCUACGAGCUCCGGUGGUGCCGGAGGGAAGCCGUUAAGCCCGCCGCCUGGGAAGUACGGCCGCAAGGCUGAAACUUAAAGGAAUUGGCGGGGGAGCAG
rnacentral:rRNA from 1 species